UUUAUGGUGAGUGAGCUCCUCUCUGAUUGCAUCUAUUCCUCCCACUAGUUCCAGGAGCCACCUUACCCUCUUCUUGCUGCCGUGCCAUCUCUAUUUCAGUUCAUAAAGUUGUUAUAAGUAUUAAAUAACUUCAUACACGUAGAGCACUUUCCUUGAUCCUUGCACUCUCUGCAGGUAAAAUGGAUCAUUCCAUGCCAUCUUUUAGGGAUACAGUUUGAGAUGCCACAAAACAAUUACAAUAGUAACAUCGAAGGCCACUUAUCACAAAUAACUAUAGCAGAUACAAUAAUAUAGAAAAAGUUUGAAAUAUUGCAAGAAUUACUAAAAUAUGACACAGAGACACCAAGUAAGCACAUGCUGUUAGUAAAAUGGUGUUGAUGAUCUUGCUCAAUUCAAGAGUGCCGCAAAC
rnacentral:lncRNA from 1 species